rnacentral:tRNA from 2 species
CUACCAGAAGAUAGUUUAAUUUAGAAUUCUGGCUUUGGGAGCCAGGGGUGGGAGUUAAAAUCUCCUUUUUCUGGG